rnacentral:rRNA from 1 species
GACGAACGCUGGCGGCGUGCUUAACACAUGCAAGUCGAACGCUGAAGCUCAGCUUUUGUUGGGUGGAUGAGUGGCGAACGGGUGAGUAACACGUGAGUAACCUGCCCCCUUCUUUGGGAUAACGCCCGGAAACGGGUGCUAAUACUGGAUAUUCACUGGUCUUCGCAUGGGGGUUGGUGGAAAGGGUUUUUCUGGUGGGGGAUGGGCUCGCGGCCUAUCAGCUUGGUGGUGGGGUGAUGGCCUACCAAGGCUUUGACGGGUAGCCGGCCUGAGAGGGUGACCGGUCACAUUGGGACUGAGAUACGGUCCAGACUCCUACGGGAGGCAGCAGUGGGGAAUAUUGCACAAUGGGCGCAAGCCUGAUGCAGCGACGCCGCGUGAGGGAUGGAGGCCUUUGGGUUGUGAACCCCUUUCGCUCAUGGUCAAGCCGCAACAAUGGUUGUGGUGAGGGUAGUGGGUAAAGAAGCGCCGGCUAACUACGUG